rnacentral:rRNA from 1 species
AGAGACUAAAUUAUACGUUUUAAGGUAAAAAGGCAGUUAAAUAUUUAAUUUACUGUAGUUUAUUAAUUUAUUAUAAAAGGGUAAAAUCUACAUAUAAAUAAAUAAACCAAAAUAAACUUGUCAAAUUGACUCUGCGAUAGCCUCGAGGGAAACUGGGAUUAGAUACCCCAUUAUUCUUGGCUGUAAAUUGACGAAAGUUUACCGGAGUACUAUGAAUUAUAUAUCAAAAUUUAAAACUCAAAGGGCUUGGCGGUGUUUUAAACCCCUCAGGGGAACCUGUCUCAUAAUCGACAAUCCGCGUUACACCUAACCUUUUUUUGCAUUUCAGUUUGUAUACCGUCGUCGUCAGGUAACUUUUAAAAAUCUAGAAGUUAGCAACAAAAUAAUUAUAAAUUUAGACGUCAGAUCAAGGUGCAGCCUAUAUGAAGGUGAGGAUGGGUUACAAUUAUCAAUUCAUAAUUACGAAUAUAGUAGUGAAAUAUUUACUUGAUUGAAGGAGGACUUGAAAGUAAAACAAAUUUAUAUAAAUAAUUUGAAUGCGGCUCUGAAACAUGC